rnacentral:rRNA from 1 species
GAUGAACGCUAGCGGCAGGCCUAAUACAUGCAAGUCGAACGCUCAGUAGCAAUACUGGGAGUGGCGCACGGGUGCGUAACGCGUACACAAUCUACCUCUAAGCGGGGGACACCUCCUGGAAACGGGGAUUAAUACCGCAUAAUAUGCCGAGGUCGCAUGACUUUGGUAUUAAAGCAGCAAUGCACUUAGAGAUGAGUGUGCGUCCCAUUAGGUAGUUGGUGAGGUAACGGCUCACCAAGCCUAUGAUGGGUAGCCGGUCUGAGAGGAUGGUCGGCCACACGGGCACUGAGACACGGGCCCGACUCCUACGGGAGGCAGCAGUAAGGAAUAUUGGUCAAUGGUGGAAACACUGAACCAGCCAUGCCGCGUGGAGGAAUAAGGUCCUACGGAUUGUAAACUCCUUUUGUACGAGGAAGAAAGUGUUAGAUUUAUCUAAUUUUGACGGUACUCGUAGAAUAAGCACCGGCUAACUCCGUGCCAGCAGCCGCGGUAAU